CUUCCGGAGCGAUUUACGCUAUUGUUUUUACCAUUAGCUAGCUAACAGUCGUCGAUGCAUUUCUGACUGAAAUAGUUUGCAAUGCCUACGUUCAAAUUACAGCCCCGCGAAGGACGUGCUAAUGAACAUUGUUCAGUGCCUCUGUGUUCAGGUUCUUCAAAAUGUAAUGGUAGUGUGAGCUUCCGUAGUUUCCCAGUUGAUGUAGAGCUCAGGAAGCGGUGGUUGGCGGCAGAACGUCGUGACAACUUUACUGGCACCAAACGCGCGAAGGUGUGUAGUACACAUUUCGUCAAGAGUGACUUUGUCCAUCUUUAGAUUUGCAAACUACACCCACCUGAUUGACUUCUGGCACUUGAUUGAGCGGGCAGCAGAGACCAAGUUUAUAAGAGUCACAAGCACCAAUCCAUCUGAAACAAGUAUUACUUGAAUAAAACCAACCCUGCCAUCAAUCGACUAGUUCUUCUUGUUUAUUACUCAUCUGUCGCUGGGUCUGAAGCAGAAGGAUUUGGCCCAUCGCUUCAGGAUCCAGCAAUAGACAGUGAAACAGAUUAUCAUCUUCCUCCACUGUCUGCUUGGAUCAGCACGGAUAUGGAUCCCCAAGGAAAUAUCAACGUGCAGCUGCCACCUGAGUUCAAGGACUAUCCAGACACCCAGGUAGUGAUCGACUGCACUGAACUCCGCUGCCAGACACCAUCUUCACUGCUACUGCAGACCAGAGGCUACUACUACCGAUGUGUCCACCUUCGCAUCUUCCACUGCUGAUACUUACACCUCUACUCCAGUGACCGACCCAACAUCUAACCCCACAGAGGCCACCCCCACAUCCACCCAGGCCAACAAGGGAGCCCCAGAGCCAGUAUUGUCAACUGGCCAGACAGUGCCCUUCUUUGUGACGCAUUGGAAAACUUCCCUGGUCUUAGUGGUUGAAUCUGUGUUUGAAAUUCACUGCUCGACUGAGGGACCUUACAGAUAAUUGCAUGUGUGGGGGUACAGAGAGGAGGCUGUAACGCAACAAAAUCUGGAAAAACUAAAGGGGUGUGAAUACUUUCUGAAGGCACUGUAUUCGGCAACUCCAGGGCAGACGGCCAGGAUGGUGGACUGUGCACUGGAACAUUCCAAUACGAAUCACAAAUGCAGUGAGCCAGUGGAAGGUCGUGUUGGAUUCAAGCAGUCGUAUUGGACUAGCAACGAAUCAAAGCUUACUUCUUAAUAAUAAAGGAGGUGACUUAAGUGUCCAAUCCUGGAGGCACACGUUAUAACGCAAGUUAUGACUGGUCUAUAAAUCAGCUACCAAAAACUAAAGAUUACAUUCAUCAUAAAUAUUCAUAGUUGAUAUUUCCGCCUAUUGUAUCUCUGUGUUUAAAGGUCUAUAUUUCCAAGAUGAAUUAAGAUAUCCUAAUGCUUUUUAUUUGUGUAUAUAGUGCAGACAAUUGACUACUUGUAUUCCACAUUUUAGCAAUUUCAGAGCUUGCAAUGUUUGAUUACAUAAGCUUUUGUGGCCCACUCUCCUUCAAGCCAGGCAUUAUUUUGCAGUUUAGAAGAUGUUUAAUUUAGAGCCGAUUACAAUAACCACAACAUUAAAAUAAUACAUGAUUAACUGUAUGUAUUUCUGUCAGGCAGCACCAUACAGCACUGAAUGAGAGCACAUUUGACUUGAAAAAGGUGUCUAUUAAUCAGCUAACAAAAAGUAAAGCUUACAAUCAUCAUAAAUAUUCAUAGUUUAUAUUUCUGCCGGUUGUAUCUCUGUGUUUACAGGUCUAUAUUUCCAAGAUGAAUUAAGAUAUCCUAAUGCUGUUUGUGCAUGUAGGGCAGACAACACACUACUUGUACUGACAUUUUUGUAAUAUCAGGACAAACAUAAGCACCCCCCCAAAAAUGAUUAUAUGUGAGAAACGGCAUGGAAUGUGUUUACAAAUCCGAGCACCGAGA
ensembl:lncRNA